rnacentral:rRNA from 1 species
GAUGAACGCUGGCGGCGUGCCUAAUACAUGCAAGUCGAGCGAACAGACGCGGAGCUUGCUCCUCUGACGUUAGCGGCGGACGGGUGAGUAACACGUGGAUAACCUCCCUAUAAGACUGGGAUAACUUCGGGAAACCGGAGCUAAUACCGGAUAAUAUAUUGAACCGCAUGGUUCAAUAGUGAAAUACGGCUUUGCUGUCACUUAUAGAUAGAUCCGCGCCGCAUUAGCUAGUUGGUAAGGUAACGGCUUACCAAGGCAACGAUGCGUAGCCGACCUGAGAGGGUGAUCGGCCACACUGGAACUGAGACAGGGUCCAGACUCCUACGGGAGGCAGCAGUAGGGAAUCUGCCGCAAUGGGCGAAAGCCUGACGGAGCAACGCCGCGUGAGUGAUGAAGGUCUUCGGAUCGUAAAACUCUGUUAUUAGGGAAGAACAAAUGUGUAAGUAACUAUGCACGUCUUGACGGUACCUAAUCAGAAAGCCACGGCUAACUACGUG